AAAGACGGCUUCAGAGCGAGGUCUGGCUAUUCCUAGCAGCUGGACUACACAUCGACACGGGCUGAGCUAGUCACAUGGCUCCUUUUCGGGUUGAACCAAGAGGGGUUCCCCAAGGCCAGUGCUGCCAGAGCUCAGAGUCUCCUAGAAUUACCAAGGACCUCCGUGACAGCUUUGCCUUUCCCCCAACACUGGGGGGGAAGGCACAGGGAUUCCCACCAGCCACGCCUCCGGCAGGAAGUGAUCGUUUCCGGUCUCCUGGGACACUGGAGAUCCAAGCCGUUUCUCUCCCUCCCCAACUCUGUCAUUAUCCCGGAAAAGGCUCCCGGACCCCGGCAAGUUCUCUGACUCUCGGCCUCAGCAGCGGGUGAGGGACCACAAGAGCACCAAAACCCAAACAGAAAACUCCCCCGCUCCAGCCUCAAUGCUUUUGAAACAUUUUGCCUUAAAGUACUCGUUUCCGAGAACAGAAGCUGCUCUAAGGAUCUGUGCCAAAAAAAGAGAGUUAAUACGCUGCUACGACAGAGUACAUAUAAAGUGUGGGUAGACACGGCUUCAA